rnacentral:rRNA from 1 species
GACGAACGCUGGCGGCGUGCUUAACACAUGCAAGUCGAACGGAAAGGCCCUGCUUUUAGGGUACUCGAGUGGCGAACGGGUGAGUAACACGCGGGUGUACUGCCCUCCUCUUCGGGAUAAGCCUGGGAAACUGGGUCUAAUACCGCAGAGGAGCCAUUUUUAGGGUGAUGGUUGGAAAGUAUUUUCGGUGUUGGAUGAGCGCGCGGGCUAUCGGCUUGCUGGUUGGGUGAUGGGCUACCUACGCGGCGGCGGGCAGCCCGCCUGGGUGGGUGGACGGCCACAUUGGGGCUGAGAAAAGGCCCAGGCUGCUACGGGGGGGAACAGUGGGGAAUAUUGAACAAUGGGCGCGAGGCGGGUGCAGCGACGCCGCGGGGGGGAAGACGGCCUUCGGGUUGUAAAAUCGUUUCGCUAGGGACGAAGCUUUUUGUGACGGUACCUAGAUAAGAAGCACCGGCUAACUACGUG